AGAUAGUCUGGUGCUAAAUGUUUGACUCCCAGUCGAAAGGUCCUGGGUUCGAUCCCCAGUGUCUGCA